GCACUACUGAGGAGCCGCACAACAGGACGAAACGGCCGUCCAGUGC
rnacentral:hammerhead_ribozyme from 1 species